rnacentral:sRNA from 1 species
AGAUGCGAGGCGGCGGUCAGCAGGUGCCGAACCCACGGCCAGGCUUCCGUGGCAAGCAGCCCUAGAGGAAUGGCCGUCCUGUCCCUGCGAGCCCCUGGGCCCUGGCAGGCGAUCCAGGUGGGAUGCUAUGGAAUAUGAUGAGAAGCUGGCCCGGUUCCGGCAGGCCCACCUCAACCCCUUCAACAAGCAGUCUGGGCCGAGACAGCAUGAGCAGGGCCCUGGGGAGGAGGUCCCGGACGUCACUCCUGAAGAGGCCCUGCCUGAGCUGCCCCCUGGGGAGCCGGAAUUCCGCUGCCCUGAACGCGUGAUGGAUCUCGGCCUGUCUGAGGACCACUUCUCCCGCCCUGUGGUCUCGCUCUGUUGCCCCCGCUGUGAAGUGCAGUGGCGCAAUCAUGGCUCACUGCAGCCUCGACCUCCUGAGCCCAAGCGUUCCUCCCACCUCAGCUUCCUGAUUAGCUGAGACUACAGGGUCUGUUCCUGGCCUCUGACGUCCAGCAGCUGCGGCAGGCGAUCGAGGAGUGCAAGCAGGUGAUUCUGGAGCUGCCCGAGC